UCCGUCACAGCCGCUGUCCCGCAGGAGCUUCUCUGGCGAGGAAGGGGCAACCCAAAACGCAGCCCAAGGGCUCAGAGCAGGCCCAGAGGAGCAACGCUCUGACACGGGGGGCAGAAUGUUCCAUAAAUGGAAUCGUGCAGCGUAUGACCUUUGGAAAUCAGCUUCUGUCACUUCGCAUAAUGCCCUUGAGAUCCAUCCAAGCCACAGUUGUGUAUACCAACGGUGUAUUCCCUCCUAUUGCUGAGUCAUAUUCCACAGUGUGCAGGCACCAUUGUGGGUCUCACCACUGAAGGACGUUUGCAUUGUUCCCCUCUUCGGUUACUACAGAUAAAGCUGCCGUGGUGGCUCAUGUACAGGCUUUUGUGUGCACACAAGUUCUCAUUUCUCUGGAAUAAAGGCCCAGGAGUACCACUGCUAGAUUA